rnacentral:rRNA from 1 species
CAGUCGCCGCGGUAAUACGUAGGGUGCAAGCGUUAAUCGGAAUUACUGGGCGUAAAGCGUGCGCAGGCGGUUUGUUAAGACAGAUGUGAAAUCCCCGGGCUUAACCUGGGAACUGCAUUUGUGACUGGCAAGCUAGAGUAUGGCAGAGGGGGGUGGAAUUCCGCGUGUAGCAGUGAAAUGCGUAGAUAUGCGGAGGAACACCGAUGGCGAAGGCAGCCCCCUGGGCCAAUACUGACGCUCAUGCACGAAAGCGUGGGGAGCAAACAGGAUUAGAUACCCCAGUAGUCCCUGUCUCUUAUAC